rnacentral:rRNA from 1 species
CAGCAGCCGCGGUAAUACGAAGGGGGCUAGCGUUGAUCGUAAUGACUGGGCGCAAAGGGCGCGUAGGCGGCGGCCAAAGUCAGGCGUGAAAUUCCUGGGCUCAACCUGGGGGCUGCGCUUGAUACUUGGUUGCUUGAGUGGGGAAGAGGGUCGUGGAAUUCCCAGUGUAGAGGUGAAAUUCGUAGAUAUUGGGAAGAACACCGGUGGCGAAGGCGGCGACCUGGUCCAUUACUGACGCUGAGGCGCGAAAGCGUGGGGAGCAAACAGGAUUAGAUACCCGAGUAGUCCCUGUCUCUUAUAC